rnacentral:rRNA from 1 species
AGAGUUUGAUCCUGGCUCAGGACGAACGCUGGCGGCGUGCUUAACACAUGCAAGUCGAGCGCUGAAGCCUUCGGGUGGAUGAGCGGCGAACGGGUGAGUAACACGUGGGUGACCUGCCCCUCACUCUGGGAUAAGCCUGGGAAACUGGGUCUAAUACCGGAUAUGACCUUCGGCCGCAUGGUUGUUGGUGGAAAGUUUUUUCGGUGAGGGAUGGGCCCGCGGCCUAUCAGCUUGUUGGUGGGGUGAUGGCCUACCAAGGCGACGACGGGUAGCCAGCCUGAGAGGGCGACCGGCCACACUGGGACUGAGACACGGCCCAGACUCCUACGGGAGGCAGCAGUGGGGAAUAUUGCGCAAUGGGCGAAAGCCUGACGCAGCGACGCCGCGUGGGGGAUGACGGCCUUCGGGUUGUAAACCUCUUUCGCCAGGGACGAAGCUAACGUGACGGUACCUGGAUAAGAAGCACCGGCCAACUACGUG